UACCAGCACCCCGAGUGGUCGGGACGUUUAUUGGUCCUAAAGCAUCCGUAUCCGGUUCUACAAGUCUUCCGUUAAAUCCACCUGCUUAACAGAUGGGCUGCGGAAGAUACUAUAGAGCUAGGAGGCGGGAGAGGCAAGCGGUACUCGAUGGGUAGGGGUAAAAUCCGUUGAUCCAUUGAAGACCACCAGUGGCGAAGGCGGCUUGCCAGAACGCGAUCGACGGUGAGGGAUGAAAGCUGGGGGAGCAAACCGG
rnacentral:rRNA from 1 species